rnacentral:rRNA from 1 species
CCUACGGGAGGCAGCAGUGGGGAAUAUUGCACAAUGGGGGAAACCCUGAUGCAGCGACGCCGCGUGAGUGAAGAAGUAUUUCGGUAUGUAAAGCUCUAUCAGCAGGGAAGAAAAUGACGGUACCUGAUUAAGAAGCCCCGGCUAACUACGUGCCAGCAGCCGCGGUAAUACGUAGGGGGCAAGCGUUAUCCGGAUUUACUGGGUGUAAAGGGAGCGUAGACGGCAGUGCAAGUCUGGAGUGAAAGGCCGGGGCUCAACCCCCGGACUGCUCUGGAAACUGUGCGGCUGGAGUGCAGGAGAGGUAAGUGGAAUUCCUAGUGUAGCGGUGAAAUGCGUAGAUAUUAGGAGGAACACCAGUGGCGAAGGCGGCUUACUGGACUGUAACUGACGUUGAGGCUCGAAAGCGUGGGGAGCAAACAGGAUUAGAUACCCGAGUAGUC